ensembl:lncRNA
GAGCCCGAGUCAGCUCCGCGGACGCCGGCCCGGCCACGUGACCGCGCCCGCUGCGGCCCCAGCUGCAGAUGCCGUCCCCUCCCCCGGGCACUUUUCCAUCAGGCUGUGAGCAGCUGGAUCAAUUUACUCAAGCUCCAGCGCCUAGCACCAGCACGGGCUGAAUUAUUACUCGUGGAAAUCCCCUCUGUUUCAGGAAAUCAGGUAGCUUUCAAACUCCCAACAAUGAAUGGCCCUUUGGGUCCAGGGAGAAUAGCAAAAAAUAUAAAACCAAAAAAAAAAAAAGACUAGGCUACAGGUUUCCAAACAGGCUGUUUGGUUUCUAGUAAAUUAGAGAGUGGGCGGUUGAGGUACCAAGUAAUGUUAUGCUGGGGAGUGUGGUCUUCUUUGACGUCACCAAAAUGUUUCUCCACUGACCGCCCCCCCACCCCGCCCCCAGCCGCCUUUCCCUGCUUUUCCCUCCUCGGCCCGUUUGCACCCUGGUCUUUUUCCUCCCUCCUCCUUCCCUCUUGCUGUCACGGAGACAGAUGACAUAGGGAAGCUCUGGAAAAUCGCUCAGAGUUGUGCAACGGAGCUCGCAGGCUCAGAAAAUUCCCAUAUUUUCAAAAACAAAGGCCAUGAGGUUGGAGGGGCGGCGGGGUGGGGAUGGGUAUAGAUCUUCAGCCACUGUCUCAGCCGGCCAAAAAUCCAUGCGACUCAGGCCAGGAGGGGAGAGGCUGCUAAAAAAACCAGCAGCCGCCACCACUGGCUGUACGUUCCUCCCAUCCUCUCUCCUGAUUAGCAGUUCUGUCUGAGGGAACAUUCUUCCUGUGGCAAAGAACACAUUCUUGCCUCCAGUCGGCUUGAAAUAGAAUCCUGGAGAGCAUGCACCCGCCGCCCUGCUGCUGCAUCCGGGGGAGGGGGAGGCAGCCCCCUCUGCUGUGCACUGAUUUCUCCAGCACCCUCGCCCCCCCGCACCUCUCCCCACCCAGUUGUUUUUCCUAUCCUCACGCAAGGGAGCGACAGCUGCCCCCAUGUUGACAUUGAACGAUCUCGAAUGAGCGUUCCACGGCUACAUAUGUAAGCAUUUGUAGCCUGACCCUGCUAUCUUUUUAUUUCCCCUUUAAGUUGAUUUUGGGGCCCAGUUGUUUCAACAAGGACCGCUGUGGUCACUCCACGGCAGGGUCCCGCCCACAGUCACAUGAUGAGUGUUGGUGGGGCCGGCAAUUCUCUGUGUGGCUAGUAAUUGUCAUGUAGCUCAGCGAGACUGCUUGGUUUCUACAACAUUGUAAAUCAACUGUACUUCCAUUUUAAAAACAUAAAAUGAAAAAAACGUAGAUUCUGAUGCAAAAAAAAAAGACUACUUAAGUUUCUAAAGUCACCUGACUCGUAUUCUUUACCUAGGCAGCUCUUGAAAAGCAGACAUCUGUGUCCAGAUGUCACAUUAGGGAGUAUGGUUCCAGGCAAGGUAGGCUAAGGAGCAGCCCAGGGUACACGUGGGCCUGGUUUUUUCCAUCAGUCUCUGGUGGCUCCUCCCUCCUCCCUCAUCCUUUCUCUGAUCUAGACAGCAAGAACCUCAGAGGACCUUGGAACAGGGAGCGCUUUCUAAAUCAGAGCCUCCAGAUGCUCUUUGCAGGCACUGAGUUCCCCUGAAAAGUCUACUGGCAUUGAAAAAAUACGCUCAUACAAAAAUGGAGGUCACGUGCAUCUAUUCAGAAAUUAGACGUGGAACCAGAAAGACUAAAGAAUUCAUCGUAUGUAUUUGCAGAGGGUGGGGUGGUGCAAGGGAGUGUCAUAAGUGGGUUGGGUGACACUUCUUCAGCAAGGGCACAGACCACGAUCUCUGCUAGCAUAAGUGUUGGGAGGACCAACGAAUGAGCAAGGGGAUGAACGUAAGAAAUGAGCCUGGAACACAAAGAAAGCACAAAGGAGCCCAAAGUUUCUGGGAGGUAAGGCCGAUGGGCUGGGGCAUGUCUGCCAGACAUUGGUUUGAAGGAGAACAGACUUGUAAAGUGUAAACGCAGGGAUUUCCCUGCCUUCCAGUGGUUAAGACUCCACCCUUCCAAUGCAGUGGGCACAGGUUUGAUCCCUGGUCAGGGAACUAAGAUCCCUCAUGCCACACGGCACGGCCAAAAAAAUUUAAAAAUAAAGUUUUUUUUUAAAAGUGUAAACACAAAACGGAGUCUGACAUAAUGACAAGUGACAGUAACAUUAGAUGACACAACACAUCCUAUAUACCAGAUAUUGCAAGUGUCUUACCUGGCACCACUGGCUUAGUCUCUGUAGCACCCUCCAGAGGUGGAAACUCACUGGAGGACCUGUCAGCUCUUUGGGGCACCAAGGAAGAGAUUCCUGUACCUGAAAGAUUUAGGAGGACUGGAAGCAGAUCCAGUCAAUACAGAGCAACCCAUGUGUAUCUUUAAAGUCUGUCCAACCUGCCUGCCUAGUUUUGCCUCCACUGUAGCUUCUGCCUCCACCGGCCAUCGCUGAGAGAGGGUCCCUGCUCCCCUGCUGACUCACGGAGCAGAGAUCCCUCAGAAAGGAAUGAGUUCUGGUCUCCAGGCAGCCAAAGCCAGCCUCCCUGCCUCCACUCUACUGCUCCUUCCUUCUCUCAGAAACGCCAGGCCUUCCACAGAUGCAUCUGAGACUCACUGAUGCUUCCUCCGGGAACACCCCUUCAACACCCCUUCAUCAAGGCCCUGACUUUUCUGGGUGACCUCUGGGCCCUGAUGGAAGCACCCUCCCACCUCCUGGGACCUUUAGGGACCCAGUCCUGGUACCAGAGAGACAGCCCUGUGUACGUGUGUGCUCAGUCGCUUCAGUCGUGUCCGACCCUUGGUGACCUCAUGGACUGUAGCCUGCCAGGCUCCUCUGUCCAUGGGAUUCUCCAGGCAAGGAUACUGGAGUGGGUCGCCAUGCCCUCCUCCAGAAAGCAGCCCUGAGACGGCAUAAUUUGAAAUCUCAUCAUUUCAGACCUCCUAGAACACCUUGCAUGUGGUCCCGUGCUCGGUGAAUGUGUUGAAAGCUUGUACCAGUUUGCUGGGGCUGCCAGAACAAAGAACCACAGCCUGGUAGCUUAACCAGGAAACAUGUAUGUUCUCCCAGGGCUGGAUGCUGGAAGUCCACGAUCGAGGAGUCAGCAAGCCGCUGGGCCAAGACCAGCAGCCGCUUCCAAGGGGCAGCUCGGUGACCAGUGCUCGGAAAAGCUGAGGCUCUGCAGAAGGGCUAGCAGGACCGAACCACCAAGACCCACUUCCCCGAGGUGCCCCACCCCCUGCAUUUUCCAAAGUAAAGCUUCACGUCUUGUGACAGCCCCGUUCCUGUCCUGUGCUGCCCUUGGCUGGGUUAUUUUUCACUUCCCUGUUCAGAACACAGCCACACUUUCCAAAUGCCAUGAAUCAUCACCACGAAGCAACGGCCAUUCAGCCAGGCAGGAAACCACGGAGGAGCAGACCUAGGAGGAACAGCAAUCCUGCAGCUGACUCUGGUGCGGCUGGGCAUCCUGAGGCCACCAUAGAGACUGGAUGGAGCUGCCACUCUCGGGACCCAUUCUCCUCCAUCGUCUGCCACGGCUGUCCUCCACUCUCUGAUCCACCCUUGCACUGAGUUCCAGGCAGCAUUUCUGACUUUGUUCUUACGGCUUUCUUGGUUGUGUUGGCUAACGUGAAGCUGUCAUCUUCCAGUCCUGGGAGGGAGAGAAAUGGGCAGAUCCAUUCAAGACCCAGGAAGCUGGGACUUCCCUGGUGGUCCAGUAGUUAAGAAUCCACCCUCCAGUGCAGGGGACCCGGAUUCAAUCCCUGGUCUGGAAACAGGGAUCCCACAUGCUGCAGGGCAACUAAGCCUGCGCGCUGCAACUGACAAAGUCCUUGGGCUCAAACAAAGUGGCUGAGCAGCCUGCAAGCAGUACUGCAAGAAUGUUACAAAGGUCAUCCCUGUCAUCCAAGCCUCUUGAUGACCGAAACCAUGUGGCCUUCCAGAUGCCAUUCAGUAAGCACCCGAAAGUAGUCACCAGGGAGCCUAUGAAUAAAUCAAUCAACGAAAGAGUCUCGUCCUCAAAGAGCUUCAAACUGUCCUGUGCUAGGCAACUGGCUCCUCUGAAUAAUUCUGCUUCUGGUCAGGAACCAAAUGAUUCCUGCAGUGGGAUCCUGCUCUUCAACAGAGACCACCAAGGAAGUUGGGAAACACAUAAAAGGAAUUUGCUUCACUUUUUCAUUGAACAACAAGUCCUUUGAAUUCCUAAUUGGAAACUUUCACACAUGAAUUGAGGUGGUUGCAACUCAUUUCCUGCAGUCCUGCUCCCCUCCUUCAUUUGGAGCAAAAUAAUUGUUGAUGUGUGGGGCGUGACCUUUGACCUCUGAUGGCUGCCUGCAAUCUACUUUCCUAGCUCAUUUGCAUAAAGGGCGUUAGAAACCCUCUGGCACCUUCUUCUCUUCUCACAUAAAAUUCUGACUUCCUUGAUCUACUAGGGAGUAAAACAAGAUCUCAAGA